rnacentral:rRNA from 1 species
GUGACCAUGUGUUCAACGGCCGCGGUAUUCUGACCGUGCAAAGGUAGCGCAAUCACUUGUCUCUUAAAUGGAGACCUGUAUGAAAGGCACCACGAGGGCUUAGCUGUCUCCCCUUUAAGGUCAAUGAAAUUGAUUUCCCCGUGCAGAAGCGGGGAUAUGCUCGUAAGACGAGAAGACCCUAUGGAGCUUAAGACAUAAGGCGACCCACGUCAAGGACCCCCUAAAGAGAAAAGAACAGAGUGGACUUCGCCGAAA